CAGCAGCCGCGGGAAAACGUAGGUGGCAAGCGUUGUCCGGAAUUAUUGGGCGUAAAGGGUGUGUAGGCGGUUUGGUAAGUCUUGUGUGAAAUCUUCGGGCUCAACUCGAAGUCUGCACGAGAAACUGCCGGGCUUGAGUGUGGGAGAGGUGAGUGGAAUUUCCGGUGUAGCGGUGAAAUGCGUAGAUAUCGGAAGGAACACCUGUGGCGAAAGCGGCUCACUGGACCACAACUGACGCUGAGACACGAAAGCUAGGGGAGCAAACAGGAUUAGAUACCCCUGUAGUCCCUGUCUCUUAUAA
rnacentral:rRNA from 1 species